AGAGUUUGAUCAUGGCUCAGGAUGAACGCUAGCGGCAGGUUCCCCCACAUGCAAGUCGAGGGGUAACAGGUUUUAGUUUACUAGANNGNUGACGACCGGCGCACGAGUGAGUAACGCGUAUACAAUUUACCUUAUACAGGGGAAUAGCCUUUGGAAAUGAAGAUUAAUGCUCCAUGGUAUUAUGGUGUGGCAUCACACUAUGAUUAAAGAUUUAUCGGUAUAAGAUGAGUAUGCGUCCUAUUAGUUAUUUUGGUGAGGUAACGGCUCACCAAGACASCCUUAKGUAGGGGUCCUGAGAGGGACCCCCCCCACACUGGUACUGAGACACGGACCAGACUCCUACGGGAGGCAGCAGUGAGGAAUAUUGGGCAAUGGAGGCAACUCUGACCCAGCCAUGCCGCGUGCAGGAAGACUGCCCUAUGGGUUGUAAACUGCUUUUUAUAGAGGAAGAAACCCUCCCACGUGUGGGAGGCUGACGGUACUCUACGAAUAAGGACCGGCUAACUCCGUGCCAGCAGCCGCGGGUAAUACGGAGGGUCCAAGCGUUUAUCCGGRAAUCAAUUGGG
rnacentral:rRNA from 1 species